rnacentral:rRNA from 1 species
UGGGGAAUAUUGGACAAUGGGCGAAAGCCUGAUCCAGCCAUGCCGCGUGUGUGAAGAAGGUCUUCGGAUUGUAAAGCACUUUAAGUUGGGAGGAAGGGCAUUAACCUAAUACGUUAGUGUUUUGACGUUACCGACAGAAUAAGCACCGGCUAACUCUGUGCCAGCAGCCGCGGUAAUACAGAGGGUGCAAGCGUUAAUCGGAAUUACUGGGCGUAAAGCGCGCGUAGGUGGUUUGUUAAGUUGGAUGUGAAAUCCCCGGGCUCAACCUGGGAACUGCAUUCAAAACUGACUGAGUAGAGUAUGGUAGAGGGUGGUGGAAUUUCCUGUGUAGCGGUGAAAUGCGUAGAUAUAGGAAGGAACACCAGUGGCGAAGGCGACCACCUGGACUAAUACUGACACUGAGGUGCGAAAGCGUGGGGAGCAAACA